GGUGAACGCUGGCGGUAGGCCUAACACAUGCAAGUCGAACGGCAGCACCGUAGGUGCUUGCUCUAACCGGCGGCGAGUGGCGGACGGGAGAGGAGUGCAUCGGACUCUACUUUUUCGUAGGGGCUAACGUAGGGAAACUUACGCUAAUAUCGCAUACGACCUUCGGUUGCAAUGAGGGAAUCUUCGUACCUUGCGCGAUUGCAUGCGGCGAAGCCGCAUUAUCUAGUUGGAGUGGUAAAGGCCGACCAAGGCGUCGAUCCGUAGCUGGGCUGCGAGGAGGAGCAGCCAUACGGGAACGUAGACACGGUCUAGACUCGUACGGGAGGCAGCAGUGGGGAAGGUGGGACAAGGGGCGCAAGCCUGAUCCAGCCAUACCGCGUGGGGGAAGAAGGCCUUGUGGGUGUUAAGCCCUUUUGUGGGGAAAGAAAAUCAGCCGGGUAAUGCCGCGCUGUUCUGACGGUACCCAAAGAAGAAGCACCGGCUAACUUCGUG
rnacentral:rRNA from 1 species